rnacentral:rRNA from 1 species
UAGGGAAUCUUCGGCAAUGGGGGCAACCCUGACCGAGCAACGCCGCGUGAGUGAAGAAGGUUUUCGGAUCGUAAAGCUCUGUUGUAAGAGAAGAACGUGUGUGAGAGUGGAAAGUUCACACAGUGACGGUAACUUACCAGAAAGGGACGGCUAACUACGUGCCAGCAGCCGCGGUAAUACGUAGGUCCCGAGCGUUGUCCGGACUUAUUGGGCGUAAAGCGAGCGCAGGCGGUUUAAUAAGUCUGAAGUUAAAGGCAGUGGCUUAACCAUUGUUCGCUUUGGAAACUGCUGAACUUGAAGGCAGCAGGGGAGAGUGGAAUUCCAUGUGUAGCGGUGAAAUGCGUAGAUAUAUGGAGGAGCACCGGUGGCGAAAGCGGCUCUCUGGUCUGUAACUGACGCUGAGGCUCGAAAGCGUGGGGAGCAAACAGG